rnacentral:rRNA from 1 species
GACCUCAAGUCAAGUGAGAAUACCCGCUGAACUUAAGCAUAUCAAUAAGCGGAGGAAAAGAAACUAACAAGGAUUCCCCUAGUAACGGCGAGUGAAGCGGGAAGAGCACAAAUUUUAAAUCUAUCUGGUUUUACCAGGUCGAGUUGUAAUUUGAAGAAACGUUUUUAAUGUUCCGGGUUGGUUUAAAUCCUUUGGGAUAAGGUAUCAUGGAGGGUGAGAAUCCCGUGUAUAUCAACCGCUGGAAUGUUAUUAAUACGUUCUCUAAGAGUCGAGUUGUUUGGGAAUGCAGCUCUAAAUGGGUGGUAAAUUUCACCUAAUGCUAAAUAUAAGCGAGAGACCGAUAGCGAACAAGUACCGUGAGGGAAAGAUGAAAAGAACUUUGAAAAGAGAGUUAAAUAGUACGUGAAAUUGUUGAAAGGGAAACGAUUGAAG